AUUGAACGCUGGCGGCAGGCCUAACACAUGCAAGUCGAGCGGUAACAGGAGAAAGCUUGCUUUCUUGCUGACGAGCGGCGGACGGGUGAGUAAUGUAUGGGGAUCUGCCCGAUAGAGGGGGAUAACUACUGGAAACGGUAGCUAAUACCGCAUGACGUCUACGGACCAAAGCAGGGGCUCUUCGGACCUUGCGCUAUCGGAUGAACCCAUAUGGGAUUAGCUAGUAGGUGAGGUAAUGGCUCACCUAGGCGACGAUCUCUAGCUGGUCUGAGAGGAUGAUCAGCCACACUGGGACUGAGACACGGCCCAGACUCCUACGGGAGCAGCAGUGGGGAAUAUUGGACAAUGGGGGGAACCCUGAUCCAGCCAUGCCGCGUGUGUGAAGAAGGCCUUAAUGGUUGUAAAGCACUUUAAGCGAGGAGGAGGCUCUCUUAGGUUAAUAACCAAGAUGAGUGGACGUUACUCGCAGAAUAAG
rnacentral:rRNA from 1 species